UACGUAGGGACCGAGCGUUGUCCGGAAUCAUUGGGCGUAAAGAGCGUGUAGGCGGCCACUUAAGUCCUGCGUGAAAUCUUGCGGCUCAACCGCAAGCGGUCGUGGGAAACUGGGUGGCUAGAGUACGGAAGAGGCGAGUGGAAUUCCUGGUGUAGCGGUGAAAUGCGCAGAUAUCAGGAGGAACACCAAUUGCGAAGGCAGCUCGCUGGGACGUUACUGACGCUGAGACGCGAAAGCGUGGGGAGCAAACAGG
rnacentral:rRNA from 1 species